rnacentral:rRNA from 1 species
GACGAACGCUGGCGGCGUGCUUAACACAUGCAAGUCGAACGGAAAGGCCCUGCUUUUGUGGGGUGCUCGAGUGGCGAACGGGUGAGUAACACGUGAGUAACCUGCCCUUGACUUUGGGAUAACUUCAGGAAACUGGGGCUAAUACCGGAUAGGAGCUCCUGCUGCAUGGUGGGGGUUGGAAAGUUUCGGCGGUUGGGGAUGGACUCGCGGCUUAUCAGCUUGUUGGUGGGGUAGUGGCUUACCAAGGCUUUGACGGGUAGCCGGCCUGAGAGGGUGACCGGGCACAAUGGGACUGAGAUACGGGCCAGACCCCUACGGGAGGCAGCAGUGGGGAAUAUUGCACAAUGGGCGGAAGCCUGAUGCAGCAACGCCGCGUGCGGGAUGACGGCCUUCGGGUUGUAAACCGCUUUCGCCUGUGACGAAGCGUGAGUGACGGUAAUGGGUAAAGAAGCACCGGCUAACUACGUG